GUGCUAGCUUCAGAGCACAUACACUAAAAUUGGAAUAAUACAAGGGUUAGCAUGGCCCCUGUGCAAGGAUGAUGCAAAUUCAUGAAGCGUUCCGUAUUUUU
ensembl:snRNA U6 U6 spliceosomal RNA